rnacentral:rRNA from 1 species
GAUGAACGCUAGCUACAGGCUUAACACAUGCAAGUCGAGGGGCAGCGCAGUGUAGCAAUACAUGGGCGGCGACCGGCGCACGGGUGCGUAACGCGUAUCCAACCUUCCCGUUACUCAGGGAUAGCCUUCCGAAAGGGAGAUUAAUACCUGAUGGUGUUUGAAUUCCGCAUGUUAUUCAAACUAAAGAUUUAUCGGUAACGGAUGGGGAUGCGUGACAUUAGGUAGAUGGCGGGGUAACGGCCCACCAUGCCCACGAUGUCUAGGGGUUCUGAGAGGAAGGUCCCCCACACUGGAACUGAGACACGGUCCAGACUCCUACGGGAGGCAGCAGUGAGGAAUAUUGGUCAAUGGUCGAAGGACUGAACCAGCCAUGCCGCGUGAAGGUGACGGCCCUAUGGGUCUUAAACUUCUUUUGUAAGGGAGCAAUAAGGUCUACGUGUAGACUGAUGAGAGUACCUUACGAUAAGCAUCGGCUAACUCCGUG